UUGAUAUGUUUACUUCUGCCA
rnacentral:siRNA from 1 species